AUGGGGAACCCACAGCUCAGAGAAGAUUGAGGAAUUGGUCAAGAUCAUACAAUAAGUCAUCGUCAGUGCAGGAAUAAGUUGCUGUCCUCUCUCUUCUUCAUGGCUUGGCCUACUGCAGUAUUUCACUCUUUGGCUGGAACCUCAGAUCAACUGACGUUUAUCUACAAGGAUUUUUAUCAGGGUUGUUUGAAACCAGGGGUCAGCAAAAUUGUUUCGUGACCAGUCAAGUAUUGCCGUGACCCUCAGGUUGAAGGUCACAUAACCUGAGCAUGCCCAGAUGAACCAAGUGUGCAGCCAGAGGGGGAACCUAAGGGCUUGGACUGACGAUCGGGGGACUGAAUUAAGAAGUGGACAUGGCAGGACCCAGGAUCCAAUCAGGUCAAUCCCUAGCAUCAUCUCAUGGAAGGAUCCAAUCAGAUCAUGCCUCCCAGCAUCACUUCAUUGCAAGAUCCAAUCAGAUCAUGCCUCAUUACUUCAUGCCUAUAAAACCUGACCCAGCCCUCUGUUUAGGAGGCACUGUUUUAGGAAUUAUCCCCUGUGGUCCCCUUACUUGCUGCAAGUAAUAAAAUCCCCUUGUUAAGUC
rnacentral:lncRNA from 1 species